GUAACCGGGAUAGAGGACCAGGAUUAGGUACCCUGUUACUCCCGGCGUUAAGUACAGUGUUUGUUUAAUCGGAUUAAACUUGCUAGGCAACAACGUCUUAACGGGUACAAGUCGAAGUACUUGGCGGUCUAGGAUGAACCAGCCCGUGAGACUUGACGGUUAAUCCGAUGGUCCGCGUAAAUUCUACUCUUCCUUGAAUUCCCAGUUGGUGUAUGGCCGCCGAGUGCUCCUCGUGAUAGGGUUGCGAGAUUCUCCGUUUUUGUUGUGUGCGAUUAUGGCAGAAGUAAGACAGGUCGACAUGCUGCCCAUGGAGGAGGCUUAGUUGAGUCACAUUAAAGAGAUUAAACGGAACCAGGAAGGAAGUAGCUUAGGGGAAGAAGUAAUGGGUAGUAUGAAGAGCAUAAUUCGCUGUUUUGAAUCGAGAACUCCUAGGUGUACAAAUCGCCCGUCGUCCCCAGACCCUAAGAAGUCCGGGGU
rnacentral:rRNA from 1 species